UACGUAGGGUGCAAGCGUUAAUCGGAAUUACUGGGCGUAAAGCGUGCGCAGGCGGUUUUGUAAGUCUGUCGUGAAAUCCCCGGGCUCAACCUGGGAAUUGCGAUGGAGACUGCAAGGCUAGAAUCUGGCAGAGGGGGGUAGAAUUCCACGUGUGAGCAGUGAAAUGCGUAGAGAUGUGGAGGAACACCGAUGGCGAAGGCAGCCCCCUGGGUCAAGAUUGACGCUCAUGCACGAAAGGCGUGGGGAGCAAACAGG
rnacentral:rRNA from 1 species